rnacentral:lncRNA from 1 species
AAUAUAACUACUUUGAUAUACUUCAGGGGUUUUACCAACUCCAACUGUGUUAAAUUGAGCGGGUUGAAUUGGCCACACAGACAGUCAGUGCUGUAGAGAAAUGAUUGAAAUUUCCACUCCUGUAUCUACCAAACCUUUAAAUUUCUUUCGCUGAAUAGUUAUUUCACAGGUAGGACAUACCUAUAUGCCACAAACUGGGUGACUUAAAAUAGCAGAAACUUAUUGUUGAGAUGGAGCAGGGACCCCUCUUAGAGCAUAAGUAUUCUAGGAGAAAAGAAUAAGAUGAAGACUUAUCAAGAAGAAGUACAGGGCAUGUCCAGAAAACUGCGAAUCUGCUUUAGGUAUAAAGCUUGCAGGAACUUGAGCAUCCUGAAAACAUUCCAGAUUAACUUCCCAGUUUGACAGAAAGCUAAUUGCUUUAGAUGAUCAUGCGCAGAGGUAGCAAUAGUUUCAUAGCUUUUCUUAGGGUUAAGGUCCCAGAGCAUUAAGAAACUUUUGAGACCUGCCAAAACAAAAAGCAAAGUCCCAACACAUUAAGCCAGUGUGUUCUGAGGAAUAGUAAUCUGCAUCAUGACUCUGCUUAGUG